rnacentral:rRNA from 1 species
ACGGGAGGCAGCAGUGGGGGAUAUUGCACAAUGGGGGAAACCCCGAUGCAGCGACGCCGCGUGAGUGAAGAAGUAUUUCGGUAUGUAAAGCUCUAUCAGCAGGGAAGAAAAUGACGGUACCUGACUAAGAAGCUCCGGCUAAAUACGUGCCAGCAGCCGCGGUAAUACGUAUGGAGCAAGCGUUAUCCGGAUUUACUGGGUGUAAAGGGAGCGUAGACGGCGAGGCAAGUCUGAUGUGAAAGCCAUGGGCUCAACCCAUGAACUGCAUUGGAAACUGUCUUGCUAGAGUGUCGGAGAGGUAAGCGGAAUUCCUAGUGUAGCGGUGAAAUGCGUAGAUAUUAGGAGGAACACCAGUGGCGAAGGCGGCUUACUGGACGAUAACUGACGUUGAGGCUCGAAAGCGUGGGGAGCAAACAGGAUUAGAUACCCUGGUA